GACGAACGCUGGCGGCGUGCUUAACACAUGCAAGCCGAACGGUGAGCCAGAGCUUGCUCUGGGGAUCAGUGGCGAACGGGUGAGUAACACGUGGGCAACCUGCCCAGACUCUGGGAUAACCUCGGGAAACCGAUGCUAAUACCGGAUACGACCACUUCGGACAUCCGACGGUGGUGGAAAGUUUUUCGGUCUGGGAUGGGCCCGCGGCCUAUCAGCUAGUUGGUGGGGUAAUGGCCUACCAAGGCGACGACGGGUAGCCGGCCUGAGAGGGCGACCGGCCACACUGGAACUGAGACACGGUCCAGACUCCUACGGGAGGCAGCAGUGGGGAAUAUUGCACAAUGGGCGAAAGCCUGAUGCAGCGACGCCGCGUGAGGGACGACGGCCUUCGGGUUGGUAAACCUCUUUCAGCAGGGACGAAGCGAAGUGACUGUACCUGCAG
rnacentral:rRNA from 1 species